rnacentral:tRNA from 1 species
GCCUGGGUGGCUCAGUCGGUUAAGCGUCCGACUUCAGCUCAGGUCAUGAUGUUGUGGUUUGUGGGUUCGAGCCCCGCGUCGGGCU